AGAGGUGGAUUGUCAUUUCAUCAGGUGGAAGAUCAAGUCAAGAUAUAUUGCUACUAAUUUCAUCAAUUCAAACAACCAAUUAACAAACAUUUUCACCAAAUCGCUUAAAGGUUCUUGGAUUGAUUACAUUUGUAAUAAGCUAGGAGCAUAUAUCAUGUAUGUUCUGCAUUGAGGGGAAGUGUUAGAAUGCUAGUUGUGAAUGAUUGAAUAAGUGAAAUUAUUAAGCUGUGAUUAGGUAAAUUAGGCCCAUGAAUGUGUGCUAUGUUUAUGCCUAUAAAUUUGCUUGUGUGUUGUAAAUGGGUAACAUACCAUUCUUAGUUUAUGUGUAAUAGCAUAUAUAACCUAUUUCUUCUCCCAUCUUCCCCACAUUCUCUUUCUAUUUCUUCUCCCUCUUCAUUUUUAACAAUUACCUUUAAAGACUUGAAUAAUGCACAUUUGGUUUAUUUGCAUCUUGAGACUUGAAUUAUUAAGUUGAAGGUGGGAUUCAAUUUUGGAGUCUGUGGAUAGCCUCAGGCCACCAAUAAUGCAGAAGAAUUCAUUUUUUACUGGAAAUGGGAAUAUCAUAAACUUUCUUUUCAACAUAUAUGUAUAUGACAUAUCUAUAUGAAUUUGUGUUUUGUAUUUGUAUAUGUAGGAACUCAAAUAGGUCCAUAGG
rnacentral:misc_RNA from 1 species